rnacentral:lncRNA from 1 species
CAGGCUAGGGGCGGUGAGCGCGGGGACAAAUGGAUGAAGAUCCCUUGCCUGUUAGGGCUGUGGGGACACCUGAUGAGGGGCACCACUCACCUAUGGCUCUGCGUCCUGACAGCAGCUGAAAUGAAUCUCCCCUAAUUGUCACUUUUCUCAUAUGCAAAUGGAGCCUCUGGACUUUGCAGCCUUGAAGGUACUGUCCAGGAGAACAUUCUAUCAUCUGCAGGUUCUAGUCGCAGCUCCACUCCGCCCCUCCCUUCCCUGCUUCCCUUCACUGAGCUUGGCUCUGGGGACACACCAUGGGCAUUGAACCUCCCACCUCCUGCUUCAGAAAGCUUCAUGCCUUGCAGACGAGGAAACAGAUGCCCAGGGAGUGAGUUGCCUGAGGUUAUGCAGUGGAAGCUGGAACCCAGGCCUGCGACUGCCUGGCGCUGCCGUUCCCGUCACAGGCCCAGGAGCAUGGAUCGGGUCCCCCGCCCUGCUGUGCAGUAGUAUGGUACCAGGCUCUCCGAGGGGCCUUCACAAUGUAGACAAGGAUGACAUGUUGAGCUCAAGGUGAUCCUGGGACAGGUCCAGCAGAGUGACCCUGACCUCUCUCUCCACCUGAUGGCA